GUGCUCACUUUGGCAGCACAUAUACUAAAUUUGAAAUAGUACAGAUAAGAUUAGCAUGGUCCCAGAGCAAGUUUGACAGGCAAGUUGUGUGAAACAUUCCACAAUUUG
rnacentral:snRNA from 1 species